CACCUCAUCAACCAGAAGGAAUCCCUUCCGAUUGAUGAGGUGUAACACCUCAUUGAAUGGAAGGGAUUCCUUCUGGUCAGUGGUGUU
rnacentral:miRNA from 1 species